ensembl:lincRNA 1700008K24Rik RIKEN cDNA 1700008K24 gene
CAGGGAUGAAGGCAAGCUGGCCCCUAGCUGAUCAGCUGGUUGGUGAGGACUCUUCACGAAGUAAGGGACCAUUGUGAAGAUGGAAGAAUGCCCACAAAAUCCAGCUUGAAACCUGCUGGCUCUGAGGGUCCUGCUGGCUCAGCAGUGCUGGUAACCAAGAAGUAUCGCAGGCCCAGGAUAACUCAGCACUCAUGAUCAGCUGUCAAGCUAUAACGGAGUGUUGAGGCAGUCCCUGAAACCACAGCGCCAUUUUGUAGGAACUAAGAAGCCAACCUCAAGGAAUCACUCGCCCCAAGAAGACUUUGUUCUGAUCUGAUGUGUUUCUAGCCUGGUGGAGCCUCAGCUAUCCAAAGGAAGAGCUGUUAAGAUGAUUGGAAUUUUGGUUUUUCCGAUUCACUCUUUUUUCUCUCCAGCCAUCUGCCUUAGACAGCAGGAGAAAAGGAAACUUAGCCUCAGAGGUGGGGUCCUUCGGAAGGACUGACAGUGGGCUAGCUCUCCUGCUGCUGGGAGCCUGAGUGCCUUUGGCUCCUUGUCCAGACCUCAGCUUUACCACGGAGGUUACCUGCUUACCAUCAACAUCGAAACUUGCCUCUUCCCCUGGGUGUAUUCUCCCUCUUUUGUGUACAGUUUGAUUCCUCCAAACUGCUCUCCCUGUGAAGAAAGCCGAUGGAAUUCAGGGAGCCUGGCCAGCCACCCAGGCCUUUAUAAAGGUCCUCGUACCACAGGAUGUAUGGGAGACCCAAUAAAGACUUUUGCAAAAUG